rnacentral:lncRNA from 1 species
AUAGUGUUUCUGAAAUAUUUAUUGAAUUUCCACAAUUCUUAAGACAUUUUGGUGGACCAUACUACCCUCUAUAAUUGCAUGAGUCUGUGCAACCAACACUUGAAGAAACACAUGUAGGCCAUUAUCUUCCAAUGCUUUGUCCCUUCACUUAACUCUCCAAUGGAACCCAAAGUAACUAAGAAUGCAUCUCAAACUCCUACACCGGCUUCUCAUAAAGUGAGUCCCCAUCUGGCUCAUUCUCAAAGGUGUAUAUAUCAUCUUCACAUCCUUCAAAUUUCUUUAUGUAUUCACUGCAUUGUUAUUGUCUUAGAAUGCCAAAAGCAAGUGGCUCAUAACAUUGUUAAAAUUAAACAGUUCUGAGAUGUUCUAGAACAAGUACGUUUCUGUUUACCUGUUUUUGGUGAAAUGGUGGACAAGAAGAGUAGAAUAAGCAUUAACUUGAGCAUGAACAUUGCCAUUUUUGGAAGGAGAGAGAAUUAGAGUGGCUUUGCUGAUAAAAACUCAGAAUAGUAUAGCCAAGGCACAAGCAAUUUGGUUAUCUAUAUAGUGAAUGAAAUAAUGGUAAUGAAGUUAUGGGCUUUGAUUUAUGGCUAACUGGCUAAGGAUGAAUUUUAUAUUCCCUUGCAAGUGGACCAUGCAGGACCAGAUUGAACCAACCUAGGCUCUACCAUUAUUAUAAAAUAUGCCAGUGACAAGGUCUGGUGGUCACAUUGGUCAUGAUAUGAGUAUGUCAUCACACUUUAUGACAAAAAAACUGAGCUGUAACAAAUUCAUUAGAAGAAGAAAUAUGAUUGAGUACAACAUUAAUUUGAUCUUUGAUAUUGACAUCAUUAAUCAAUUUGGUUUUAUAUGAUUACAAAAACUUCAACUUAGUCUCUUACUUUACUCACAAAGAGACCAAAUUAAUUGAUGGUAUCAAUAUCUGAUGAAUCAUAUUGAGAUUAAACUCAAAUUAAUAGUUAAUGUGGCGAUGUGAUUUAACACGGCAUCACAUUAUAAAGAAGGAAACACAAAGAAAAGAGUUAUUUACUUAGCUUUCCCUACUGUCAAAUGUUCUUCCAACUCAACCAAGCUUUUUACUUUCUUCUGACAAAAUGAUUAUUUAUCUCACUUUUCUCCUCCUAUUCUAUUCUCUCCCUCUUUUUCUCUAUUAGUGGCCCUCAUUUUGUGUUUGUAGCCAUACUUGGAGCAGAUAGUGGAAUCCUCCGUAAAGUGGAUAAACAAAUGUAGCUGCAUGGAGACAUAGCAGUUCCUCCAUCCUCUGUAAUCAAUCCAUUCACAAAUCCCAUACAUAACUAAUUAAAUAUAUUAAUCAACUAGUUAAAUCACAAAAUUUAAGCGACACAUACAUAACUAACAACAAAAGCAUGUAUUCAUACAAACAAUCCAUGGAGCAAGCCUAGUUUCAGUGAUUUUAAGCCUUUACCACUACCUCUUCCAUCUACAAGGCUUACACUGUCUUGAAUCUAAUAGAAUUAAAUUAGAUUGACUCUAAAUCAAUUGUUCAACAUGAGGAUGGCAUAGCAAUAUAUAUUAUGUAAAAGAUUAUAACACACACUGAACCGAUGAACCGUUACUCAUGGAUUUGAUCGGAGAGGGUGACAAUCAUUGGAUUGACUAUCUGCCAUUAGAGGAACAUUAUAGAGAAGAUCAUGGAUUUUGGAAUACAUCAGCAUCGAAGAAGGGUCACCACCACUACUGCUCUGUGAUACACGAGAACUCUCCUGCAAUUUGAUCUUUUCAUACAGAUAUUGCUUCUCAGCCUCAGCCUCACUUAACUUUUGUUUCAAAUAGUUGUUAGUAUACUCUUCCUCUGAUUUAUCUGACUUGGCAAGAGCAAUCCUCUGGAGCCUCUCAGCCUCUUGUUUAGCCUCAUUAGCCUUCAAUUGGAACAUCCCAGCCUCUGCAUUUUUAAGCCUAACAAUUCUCUCCAGUUCUUCAAUCUGUGACUUCUUUUUUUGCCUAUCCAUCUUCAGUUCUGCUGCUUCUCUGGCCUUAUCUGCUAAUUCCCGGUCACAAGCUUCGAGAGUCAAGCGAGCCUUCUUGAACAUUCUCAUUUUCUCAUCAGCUACCAUUUCCAUCUUUCUUAUAGCCUCUUGUACCACUUCAGCAAUUCUAUUGCAUGCUUCCUGUGGAGCAAUCAGCCUUCCAGUUUCUGCAUUUUCCAGGCCCUUUGGAGAGUCCAUCUCAAGCUCUUUAUUCAAGAAAAGCUUUGGUUAACACUCAAACAUCAAGUUGAAAUAUAGCAUUUUUUAUCAGUAUAGCUCCCCUAAAAGAAUAGCAAACAUACUUUUAUAUAACCGAAGACUUAUAUCAUGGGAGAAAUUGCAAGCAAACUAGAAAAAUUGUACCUUGGAAAACCAUCAAUAUUGCCCUGCAUGCUGCCUUAGCAUCCAUUUUUCCACUAUUCAGUUUUCCCUUGAGAUCGUCACACUUCCAAAAUAGUUUCCUUCCUCGCGGGUCUUUACUACCAUGAAAGAUCCUACUAACAAAAUCAAGUUCCCUCACUAAGGCCUCCCCAUCCCAUGAUGGGGCACAAUGUUGGAAGACAUCUUUGACCCAACCCAACAGUUCUGAAGUCCUGUUGCAUGCUUGACACCUGAAAACCAUUUCACUUGGUCCUACUCCACUUUUCACAGAAGGGCCCGUGCAAAUAAGUUGCUCACGAAUGGCACAAUCUGUGUGAGUCCAAUGAGAACACAAAUCACAUCCAAUCCAGCGGCAUGUAUUUACUUGAAAGUCAAACUUGCUGCAGAUUACACACAUGCAAAGAUUGCAGAAACCAUUGUUGCUGGUGCAUGUAUCACAGGUACAAUCAUCAGCCGGAAGCUGGUUUUGGCAAGCAAUGUUUCUGCAUCUCUUAUACACAAAUAUCUCAAUUAGGGAAGUCUGUGAUAGACUGAUGCUAGGAUGUAAGAAUCCUUGAAUUCCAGUAUUUAUGGCAACAAGGAUUUCAAGCUGCACACGAUGCACUCUAAUCAAUGUCUUGGCUGUUAAAUCAGAUCUACUCUUAACAAGCUUCUGCAAAAUGAAAAACUCAUCUCUAUGUUGUGAGUCGCUCCCUCCCUCAAGGAUAACUCUAAGUCCAUUUUUCAGCUCUUCUAGAAAUUCUUCAGGUAGACGGUGCAUUUUUUCAUAGAUUAUAUCAACUCUUUCUCUUGCGAUGUCCUGAAGACUAAUUUUGUCUGCAUUAGAAACAUGGCGAGUAACCGACUGCUCAGGGAUAUCAAUCUCAGUUUUUCCAUUAUCCAUCUUCUUUGCUGCAAUUGCAACAGCAGUAGGCCAAGUUUCUCGAGAACUGGCACUUUCAGUUUGAGAUUCAUGGAGAUUGUCAGAGUUCGACCGAGGUUCCUCUGGAGAAAGGCGAGGAUCCGGAGAAACCAGACAUAGAGAUGUUUGAAGUCCUCCAACACGUGAUUGCUGACGCGGAGGGAGCAUUUUUUUGUAAAGGCUUCUGGUUCAAGUUAGGCCUGGAACCCUACCCAUGAGAAGAUUUACUUUGUCAGUAAAUAUAUGCAUCAUAUACCACCAUACAAGACUAUUACAUAGUAUUUGGCUAUUUGCUAUGCUCAAAAUUAGGAACUUUUGAAAAUUCAUAAUCAGGUAAAAAUUUGCAGCCUUUCAUCCUCAGUCCCGACUCCAUACAAACCUCUAAAAUGAAAUAAAAUAAAUAAAUAAAUAAAUAAACGAAAAGGAUCCAGCCCCUCAAAAAAAGUGAAGAAGCAAAUAUUAUCAUAAUCCACACAAGAUUAGAGUUGAACACAAGUGAUUUAUGUACUAUAUAUGCAGAAAAUCUUAUUAUCGCAGAAUUCAACUAAUUCUUCAGCUGAAAUAAUCAGAUCAAGUAAUAAAGUUGCAAUUUAAACGACCCACCGCAUAAAGUUGACCUAAAGUUUAGCAGUUGAAAAGGAAUAAACAUGAUGAUGAUGAUAAUUGAAAUUCAUGAAAUGAAAGCAAAGAUCUUCAAUUUAUGUUAUAACAAGUGAAAAUGGAUUGAAAAGCUGACCCCUGUGGAUUGAAGGAUUGGAGGAUUGGAGGAUUGGAGUGUAUCUUUUUCAGUUUCACGCAUCAAACCAAAGAAAUGGGUUUAAGUCAAAAUAAGUAUAUGGAUACUUUCCCCACUUUACCCCUCACUUGGAACAAAAGGUUGAAGCGGUCAAAUACCAUAUAUGUUAUUAUAAUGUCCAUGUUUGUUACUUCAAUAAAUAAUCACUCUCAAGUCUCAACCAUCUUCAUAUACAAUAACAUAUCUUAAUCUUAAAUUUCACUAUAUAACAUAAGAAACAAACUAUUAUUUUGGGUGAGAGAGGUCCAUAUACAAUAACCAAAACCACAGAACCGAUACAAAACCUCCUUAAUUGAUGGAUAAAAUAGGGGUGUUAAAUGCUUCUAGUUCAUGUUUAAACAUAUUAUUUGAUUGCUAGUUUAGACAAAAUAGAGGUUAAUUUUCCUACUUAUACCUAAUUAUGAUAUCUUGGAUAAGCAGUAGCACACCUCGUCUACAAUUAGACCAAACCAAAUGAUAUUAUUAUCCUCAGCAGGUUUAACUAAAUCAGUAUGUGAGAUUGAGCAAAUUGAUCACAGAUUAUUAUUAUUAUUAUUAUUAAGACGCCGCCUUAGUAGAUGUGUCAAUUUGUUGGUCAUAAAAACUGUGACUUUAAAGUGGAACACUUGUUGCUUUUGUCUUUGAAUAAUACUAGUAAAAGCUACAAUUUCUAUAAAGGACCCAAACCAGUAUUAGUAAUCCUGGGUGAAGGAAUGCAACACAUUCAGAAAAGAACCAAUAAUGAGCACUAUAUAUCUGCAUCACAUGUCAUGCUAGUACUAGUAUAAACCCUACAUCAGCUUGUAUUAUGGAUAGGAAUGAUUUUUUACCACACUAUUAUUCCAUAGGGGAAGGCCCUCCUUCAAGUUUGAUAUCACGCUCACUACCUAACAUGACUGCCAUUAACAUAAGUUUGCCUGCAUCUGCAAAAUCCUUGUGCUGCAUCAAUAUUGUUUCAACUGAAGAACUCAUACCAUUCGGAACAGAAGUAUCCUCCAAGUUUUCUUGCCUCAACGGCAAUACAUGAUCAAACCCUUUUUCAAAGGUUUCAGCUCGCGAUCCAUAACACCUACUUGAAGCCUGGAAAAGUACAGUAUUUUUCAAGUUUUGCUGGGUUUCAUCGUCACUCCAUCCUCCAACUGUGUAAGAAUUUUGUAAUAUGCUCCAAUUAUCAUGAGAGGCAGCAUUCUUCCAGCAAUCCUCUAAAAGCUUUAAGUGGACCUUACGGAACGACGAACUGGUCCACGCAAACACGUCAAAGGCCCACAAUGAGAGUUCCCGCUCUUCACCUUCCAGGCACAGCUUAAUCAAGUCUUCUGGAUGAAGCAGCUGAUGUUCAACAUGUUCCUUAUCUUCAAUGGAAUGGAGACACUUCAUUACCUUCUCCUGCAGUUAAAGUGUUUUAAGUUAAAAUGGAUGCAAAGGAACACUAAAAAGCGUGAGACAGAGCUUAUCCAUGAUUCAACAAAUUCUACCAAGGCAAAUACUGAUUUCAGACCUCAAGUGGCACAUACAACAACUAGAACACAAGUUUCAAUGUCAUUAGUCAGACAAUGUCGCUGGUGUUCUUAAUAAUUCAACCAUAACCCAAAUCCCUAUAUAAGGUUCCUGUACCUCUAAAACUAAGUUCUUAACAAUUUGAGAGUAACUUUCAUUCUGUGACAACUCUCACAUCAAACCCUUCAGUCAUGUGUUUAACUAUUUUUUUCAAAGGGGAAACAUAGAGAAUAGUCCAACCAAUAAAUGGAAUGAGGUAAAUGAAGAACAAGAUUAACUGGCAAUUUUAGCCUCACUCAAAAACGUUAGUAAUGUGGAGGAAAACUCUCAUCUGUAGAAAACACUAGUCAUAAUUGAGUUAUGUUAAUGCACAGUCCUAUGGUGAUUUGUUAAAAGAAAGCUUGUUGACAAAACAUAAAGAGACUUGUUUUUUGUGCAUUGGCCUACAAAACAUAUUUACAUUACUAGAAUUGAACAUUCAAAGCAUUUUAGCAUCAGACUUGUCUUGAUAUUCACAUAGCCAAUUAGCUCUAAGCCUUAGGCCUCAGGGAGGGUUGAGCUCAAAAGUUAUUAAGAAAGCAUAGAGCCAGAGAUAGGUCCCAGAGUUUCAUUUAUGCAUUAUAUUCAUGAUGAGUCAAUUAAGAAAAAGAUCAACAACUUCAUCUUCAAAUUGACAAUUUCUUUUUUAGAAAGAAAAAAAAAGCUCAAAUCUACCUGUAAUUUUAGAAUCUUCAAAUCAGCCUCAAUUCGAUCCACCUUCACCUGAGUACCAGCAUCCUUACCAGCUGUUGAACAAGAAAGGGUAAUAGUAUUUAUCAAAAAUGCAAUUUACAAUAUAUAUUUUCUCAUAUCCAAUAAAAAAUAGGCAUUUAACUUGUAAAACAACUAGAGUCCAAUUGAAAAUUUGGAUAUAUAUUGGAUCUUUUAAAAUAAAAAAGCCUGAAAAUAAACACCAACAGAAUGUUAGUACUUUAAGAACCAGUCUCAAAGGUGAACGAAUUAUAAGGCAUACAGUCAUUGCAUAAGGCUAAAAGCAAUGUGAUGUUUUUUGCAUUAUCCAUAUUAAGUGACAUUGUCUGUGACUUUAAAUAAAGAGAACGUCAGUAUAGGUAUCCUAAAGAUAUGGUACAGGCAAAAAUGACUUCAAAAUCUCACAGGUUAGUAGCUAAUAGAGUUAAUAAGAAAAAGGUAAAACUAGAUUCUGUAGAUAUAUAAAUAGCCUGGAAGGAAAUUAAAAAAAAACUGCAUAAGACAUUAAAAACUACACUACUACAAUAGCCAUACCGGCAAAAGCAGCUAUCUUGGAGAGAUACAAAAGCUUCUCUCUGUCCACCAAAUUUAGCUUCGACUUAAUAUACUCCUCUUCUCCUUCUUCUUCAGCAACUGAGGUAGACUGCAAGUUUUGAGUGAGAGCCAAUGCAUGAAGUGUAUCUGAAGCAGAGG